GAUGAACGCUGGCGGCGUGCCUAAUACAUGCGAGUCGAGCGAACGGACGGGAAGCUUGCUUCUCUGAUGUUAGCGGCGGACGGGUGAGUAACACGUGGAUAACCUACCUAUAAGACUGGGAUAACUUCGGGAAACCGGAGCUAAUACCGGAUGAUAUUUUGAACCGCAUGGUUCAAAAGUGAAAGACGGUCUUGCUGUCACUUAUAGAUGGAUCCGCGCUGCAUUAGCUAGUUGGUAAGGUAACGGCUUACCAAGGCAACGAUGCAUAGCCGACCUGAGAGGGUGAUCGGCCACACUGGAACUGAGACACGGUCCAGACUCCUACGGGAGGCAGCAGUAGGGAAUCUUCCGCAAUGGGCGAAAGCCUGACGGAGCAACGCCGCGUGAGUGAUGAAGGUCUUCGGAUCGUAAAACUCUGUUAUUAGGGAAGAACAUAUGUGUAAGUAACUGUGCACAUCUUGACGGUACCUAAUCAGAAAGCCACGGCUAACUACCUG
rnacentral:rRNA from 1 species